GCGAUACGAAUAUGCCUCUUCAAUCAUCUCUACCAUCUCCGUAGACGUAGGUGAAUAGAGGGGAAAAAGUGGCUAGAAUAAAGUAGCCCGAGAGCGUUACCUCAUACCUUCCAAGUUACAGGGAUCUAUCUCUGGAUGGCUUCGGUGGGUAGCUGCGCGAUUGGGACAGUC
rnacentral:snoRNA from 1 species